CCGUCGAUAACUCAGUUGACGCAGAGCGGUGUGGACUGUAGAUCCAUAGGUCGCUGGUUCGAAUCCGGCUCGACGGA
rnacentral:tRNA from 1 species